rnacentral:rRNA from 1 species
CCAUGAGCUCAAGGUUUCUGGCGAAAAGUCCUGAUCCUACACUGCCGAGAAAAGCUGCUAAGGAGAGGUGCUUGUGUCCGUACCGCAAACCGACACAGGUAGUCGAGGAGAGAAUCCUCAGGCGUUUGAGAGAACUCUGCUGAAGGAACUCGGCAAAUUAACCCCGUAACUUCGGGAGAAGGGGUACCACGGUAGGGUUCAUAGCCCGAGGUGGUGGCACAUAAAUGUUCCAGGCGACUGUUUAACAAAAACACAGGUCUCUGCAGACUCCAAAGAGGAGGUAUAGGGGCUGACGCCUGCCCGGUGCCGGAAGGUCAAGAGGAGUGGUCAGCGCAAGCGAAGCUACGAAUUUAAGCCCCGGUGAACGGCGGCCGUAACAAUAACGGUCCUAAGGUAGCGAAAUUCCUUGUCGGGUAAGUUCCGACCUGCACGAAUGGCGUAACGAUCUGGAAACUGUCUCCAGCAGAGACUCAGCGAACUUGUAGCACCGGUGAAGAUGCCGGUUACCCGCACUUAGACGGAAAGACCCCGUGCACCUUUACUACACCUUGACAUUGAGGUUGGCGUUGGACUGUGCAGGAUAGGUGGGAGACUAUGAAACUGGCUCGUUAGGGUCGGUGGAGUCACCCUUGAGAUACCACCCUGUUUAACGCUGAUCUCUAACUCGCACCCGUGAUCCGGGUGGAAGACAAUGUCAGGCGGGUAGUUUGACUGGGGCGGUCGCCUCCUAAAGCGUAACGGAGGCGUACGAAGGUUCCCUCAGGCUGUUUGGAAAUCAGUCGUAGAGCGCAAUAGUAUAAGGGAGCUUGACUGCGAGUCAGACACGACGAGCAGGUGCGAAAGCAGGUUAUAGUGAUCCGGUGGUCCCGAAUGGAAGGGCCAUCGCUCAACGGAUAAAAGGUACGCCGGGGAUAACAGGCUGAUCUUGCCCAAGAGUUCAUAUCGACGGCAAGGUUUGGCACCUCGAUGUCGACUCAUCACAUCCUGGGGCUGAAGCAGGUCCCAAGGGUUCGGCUGUUCGCCGAUCAAUAGUGGUACGUGAGUUGGGUUCAGAACGUCGCGAGACAGUUCGGUCCCUAUCUAGUGUGGGCGCAGGAGAUUUGAGAGGACCUGUCCUUAGUACGAGAGGACCGGGAUGGACUGACCUCUGGUGUUCCAGUUGUGUUUCCAAAUGCAAUGCUGGGUAGCUAUGUCGGGAAGUGAGAAGCGCUGAAAGCAUCUAAGCGCGAAACACCCCUCAAGAUGAGAUCUCCCUAUGAGACCCGUGGAAGACCACCACGUUGAUAGGUCGCAUGUGUAAGGCCGGUAACGGCUUAAGCUGAGCGAUACUAAUCGGUCCACUGACUUGACCU